rnacentral:rRNA from 1 species
GAUGUGGGGGAUAACUAUUGGAAACGAUAGCUAAUACCGCAUAAUCUCUUCGGAGCAAAGAGGGGGAUCUUCGGACCUCUCGCGUCAAGAUUAGCCCAGGUGAGAUUAGCUAGUUGGUGAGGUAAGAGCUCACCAAGGCGACGAUCUCUAGCUGGUCUGAGAGGAUGAUCAGCCACACUGGAACUGAGACACGGUCCAGACUCCUACGGGAGGCAGCAGUGGGGAAUAUUGCACAAUGGGGGAAACCCUGAUGCAGCCAUGCCGCGUGUGAGAAGAAGGCCUUCGGGUUGUAAAGCACUUUCAGUGGUGAGGAAAGGUAAAGGGUUAAUAACUCCUUACUGUGACGUUAACCACAGAAGAAGCACCGGCUAACUUCGUGCCAGCAGCCGCGGUAAUACGAGGGGUGCAAGCGUUAAUCGGAAUAACUGGGCGUAAAGCGCACGCAGGCGGUUUGUUAAGCCAGAUGUGAAAGCCCCGAGCUCAACUCGGGAACUGCAUUUGGAACUGGCAAACUAGAGUCUUGUAGAGGGGGGUAGAAUUUCCAGUGUAGCGGUGAAAUGCGUAGAGAUUGGAAGGA